rnacentral:misc_RNA from 1 species
UUUCCGUAGGUGAACCUGCGGAAGGAUCAUUAUUGUAUAACCGAGGUGCGAGGGCUGUCGCUGACCCGAAAGGUCGUGCACGCCCGAGUGCCCUCACACACAUCCAUCUCACCCCUAUGUGCACCACCGCGUGGGUCCCCCUUUGGCUUGUUCGGAGGGGGGCUUACGUUUUCACACAAACUUUGUAUGCAGUGUAGAAUGUAUUUUUUGUUUUUGCGAUCACGCAAUCAAUACAACUUUCAACAACGGAUCUCUUGGCUCUCGCACGAUGAAGAACGCAGC